rnacentral:rRNA from 1 species
UACGUAGGGUGCGAGCGUUGUCCGGAAUUACUGGGCGUAAAGAGUUCGUAGGCGGUUUGUCGCGUCGUUCGUGAAAACUUGGGGCUUAACUCCAAGCGUGCGGGCGAUACGGGCAGACUUGAGUACUACAGGGGAGACGUGGAAUUCCUGGUGUAGCGGUGAAAUGCGCAGAUAUCAGGAGGAACACCGGUGGCGAAGGCGGGUCUCUGGGCCGAUACUGACGCUGAGGAGCGAAAGCGUGGGGAGCGAACAGG